UUUCAUAAACAACCAGGAUGUUGGCUCAGAAGCAGCCACCAUUUAAAGAGUGCGUAAUAGCUCACUGGUCGAGAGACGCUGCGCCGAAAAUGUCCGGGGCUCAAGCACGGAACCGAAGCUAUGGCAUGAUAGCAAUAUCAUGGGUAGGGGAGCGUUCUUAUAAGGAAGAAGCAUGACCGGAAGGACAUGUGGACGAAUAAGAAGUGAGAAUGCCGGUAUGAGUAUCGAAAAGAAAGGUGAGAAUCCUUUCCACCGAAAGCCCGAGGGUUCCUGAGCAACGAUCGUCGACUCAGGGUAAGUCGGGACCUAAGCCGAGGCGGAAAGCGUAGGCGAUGGACAACAGGUUGAAAUUCCUGUACCGGAUCAAGUCGAUUGAGCGAAGGAGCGACGCAGGAGGGCACAUGAUCGCGCGGCUGGAAGAGCGCGUCCAAGUGCGUAUGUUGCCGCAGAGGAAAACCCCUGCGGCUAAAAGCAGAGACAUGAUGGGGAGUUAAAGGAAACUUUGACGAACUCAUGAAUCCCACACUGCCAAGAAAAACUUCUAGCGAGACAAGAUCCGCCCGUACCGUAAACCGACACAGGUAGGCGGGGAGAGAAUCCUAAGGUGCGCGGGAAAACCCUCGUUAAGGAACUCGGCAAAUUGCAUCCGUAACCUAGGGAGAAGGAUGGCCCCCGGUCAGUGAAGAGCAGAAACGCUCAGAGCUAAAAGGGGCGGCAGAAAAGAGGCCCAAGCAACUGUUUACCAAAAACACAGGUGCCUGCGAAAGCGAAAGCUGAAGUAUAGGUGCUGACGCCUGCCCGGUGCCGGAAGGUUAAGGAGAGAAGUUAGCGAAAGCGAAGCAUCGAACUGAAGCCCCGGUGAACGGCGGCCGUAACUAUAACGGUCCUAAGGUAGCGAAAUUCCUUGUCGGGUAAGUUCCGACCCGCACGAAAGGUGUAAUGAUUUGGGCACUGUCUCAACGAGGGACCCGGUGAAAUUGAAAUACCUGUGAAGAUGCAGGUUACCCGCGACUGGACAGAAAGACCCCAUGGAGCUUCACUGCAGCUUGAGAUUGAAUCCCGGUGACAGAUGCACAGGAUAGGUGGGAGGCGCCGAAGCAUUGCCUUAGGGCGGUGCGGAGCCGAUGUUGGGAUACCACCCUUCUGUUGCUGAGAUUCUAACGCGAGGAGUAACGACCCUGCGGACCCUCUCAGGCAGGCGGUUUGACUGGGGCGGUCGCCUCCGAAAGAGUAACGGAGGCGCCCAAAGGUUCCCUCAGGCCGGACAGAAACCGGCCGAAGAGUGCAAAGGCAGAAGGGAGCUUGACUGCGAGACCAACAAGUCGAGCAGGGACGAAAGUCGGGCUUAGUGAUCCGGUGGUACUGGGUGGAAAGGCCAUCGCUCAACGGAUAAAAGCUACCCUGGGGAUAACAGGCUAAUCUCUCCCAAGAGUUCAUAUCGACGGGGAGGUUUGGCACCUCGAUGUCGGCUCAUCACAUCCUGGGGCUGGAGUAGGUCCCAAGGGUUGGGCUGUUCGCCCAUUAAAGUGGUACGCGAGCUGGGUUCAAAACGUCGUGAGACAGUUUGGUUCAUAUCCAUCGCGGGCGCAAGAAGUUUGAGAGGAGCUGCUCCUAGUACGAGAGGACCGGAGUGGACGGAUCAACGGUGUCCCAGUUGUCACGCCAGUGGCACGGCUGGAAAGCCGCAUCCGGGAAGGAUAAACGCUGAAAGCAUCUAAGCGCGAAGCCAACCUCAAGAUGAGACUUCUCAUCAGCAAUGAGUAAGACCCCUUACAGACGAUGAGGUAGAUAGGUUAUGAGUGGAAGAGCCGCAAGGCUUGGAGCGACAUAAAACUAAUAGGUCGAGGUCUUAACUUA
rnacentral:rRNA from 1 species